UCUUGCUUUCCUCAGUUGCAAGCUACAAAUUGCAGCAACCAACAAAAGUUAGAAAUGAAGACCAUAAUGCUUAAAAUAAAAUAUAUAGACAAUUUAAUUAAGAAUAAAAAGAUGGAAUAACAAGGGAACAUGAAAAUCAAUACGAUACCAAACGGUUUUAAGACUUUCCGUACAGCAGUGCAGUCUGUUAGGAAGCAUGUAAAUAUAAAAGCCACACCCAUUAGAAUAACAGAUUUUACACUGGUUUUCAAUUUGAAUUAGAUUAGCUUGAUAUGAAUGACAUAGCCCAGUUCAGAGCCCUCUAAGUGACACUUUUGUGUUUUUUUUUUCCUUCUCUUUCUUUGGUUUGAUCUCAAAGCACGUAUCAUGGCAUCAGAUAUUUCAAAAAUGCUGCAUAUCAUUCUUUCUUCCCGAAUUUUAUAGGUCGUUCAAUUAUACACAAGCAUAAACAAGUCAAGAUCGGCUCAGUCCUUCAAGUAGAUAAGUGAUGUGAGGAG
rnacentral:misc_RNA from 1 species